AUUGAACGCUGGCGGCAGGCCUAACACAUGCAAGUCGAACGGUAACAGGAAACAGCUUGCUGUUUCGCUGACGAGUGGCGGACGGGUGAGUAAUGUCUGGGAAACUGCCUGAUGGAGGGGGAUAACUACUGGAAACGGUAGCUAAUACCGCAUAACGUCGCAAGACCAAAGAGGGGGACCUUCGGGCCUCUUGCCAUCGGAUGUGCCCAGAUGGGAUUAGCUAGUAGGUGGGGUAACGGCUCACCUAGGCGACGAUCCCUAGCUGGUCUGAGAGUAUGACCAGCCACACUGGAACUGAGACACGGUCCAGACUCCUACGGGAGGCAGCAGUGGGGAAUAUUGCACAAUGGGCGCAAGCCUGAUGCAGCCAUGCCGCGUGUAUGAAGAGGGCCUUCGGGUUGUAAAGUACUUUCAGCGGGGAGGAAGGGAGUAAAGUUAAUACCUUUGCUCAUUGACGUUACCCGCAGAAGAAGCACCGGCUAACUCCGUGCCAGCCGCCGCCGUAA
rnacentral:rRNA from 1 species